AUUCCAACAAUUACACAUUUUACUUCAUUCAACACUAAUUGUACAUCAUAAAGAGAAUAAUAGCCUUUUAUCGUAUGGUCAUGGGUAUGAAUUAGAUAAUAAAUUAUUGCAUAUAUUAUAGUGCAGUGUUAUGUACAAUAACAUUUAUUGGCAUUUACAGUCUCAAUUUAUUCUAUUCGACGUGUUUGCGACAAAAAAUGGCCAGUUCUUUUUUCAAAAGAUCAACCAAAACAUGCUCUUCAUGCAGAGCGUUAUUUGUAAGAGUUGUCAUCGCCAAAGAAAGAAGAUAAUAUGCAAUCGUAUAUAUAUAAUCACGUGCCACAGAAAGGUUUCUCGCGGAUAACCUUGGUAUAAAGAAUGGUGUCUGUUGUUUGGAGGCAGAGAUAAUUAAUCAUGCAGUAGUAUAAAUUCAAUUCAAAACAGACGGACCUGAACUUACUGUCCGUUGUAAGGUUUCCUUUGUCAUAAUGUCACUAUAGAGUAAGGGCUUGCAGUUCAUAUGAACCCAGUACCUGUGUGAGAUCCGCAUGUCAUUUUUAAUAUGGAUAUUGUGUGUUCAUAUCACAUAUGAGAGACGAGCCAGCACGGCUAGGGAUAAAAUUUUCCAUAUGAACGCUUAUCCUAUACUUGACCGGGAUGGAAAUGUUUUUUUCCAAUUUUGACCUAAAUAUAUUCCUAAAUAUUAGUUUUGAUACGUAUAGUUUGUUCAAUCACAACAAGAAAGUAUAUCUUUAGUUUUAAUCUUCCGAGGUCAACCUUAUUUGAGGUAGCAUUAGGAUAGCGAAGCUGGACGUUCCGAGCUUGACAGUUUCUUCUGAAACUCUGCGAAAUAUCUAUCGAUAAGGCUGAGAUGAUUGAGGAUAUUCUUUCGACCAAAGGAGCGUGAUGCGUCGUCAAAUGUUUGCAUUUCAUUAUCUCCGCCACUUUCUGAUGUUACAUCAAAUAAUUCUUUCAGCAACAGACUAAAGAAAUCAAAAC